GCGGCUGUAGCUCAGCUGGAUAGAGUACCUGGCUACGAACCAGGAGGUCGGAGGUUCGAAUCCUCCCAGCCGCGCCA
rnacentral:tRNA from 1 species